rnacentral:rRNA from 1 species
UACGUAGGGGGCAAGCGUUGUCCGGAAUCAUUGGGCGUAAAGAGCGUGUAGGCGGCCCGAUAAGUCCGCUGUGAAAGUCCAGGGCUCAACCCUGGAAUGCCAGUGGAAACUGUCGGGCUGGAGUCCGGAAGAGGCGAGUGGAAUUCCUGGUGUAGCGGUGAAAUGCGCAGAUAUCAGGAAGAACACCCGUGGCGAAGGCGGCUCUCUGGGACGGUACUGACGCUGAGACGCGAAAGCGUGGGGGAGCGAACAGG